GACGUAGGGCGCGAGCGUUGUCCGGAUUGAUUGGGCGUAAAGAGCUCGUAGGCGGCUCGUUGCGUCGGCUGUGAAAACCCGCAGCUCAACUGUGGGCCUGCAGCCGAUACGGGCGGGCUGGAGUUCGGUAGGGGAGACUGGAAUUCCUGGUGUAGCGGUGAAAUGCGCAGAUAUCAGGAGGAACACCGGUGGCGAAGGCGGGUCUCUGGGCCAUUACUGACGCUGAGGAGCGAAAGCGUGGGGAGCGAACAGG
rnacentral:rRNA from 1 species